CCUACGGGUGGCUGCAGUGGGGAAUAUUGGACAAUGGGGGCAACCCUGAUCCAGCCAUGCCGCGUGUGUGAAGAAGGCCCUCGGGUUGUAAAGCACUUUCAGUGAGGAAGAACGCCUGGUGGUUAAUACCCAUCAGGAAAGACAUCACUCACAGAAGAAGCACCGGCUAACUCCGUGCCAGCAGCCGCGGUAAUACGGAGGGUGCGAGCGUUAAUCGGAAUUACUGGGCGUAAAGCGCGCGUAGGUGGCUUGAUAAGCCGGUUGUGAAAGCCCCGGGCUCAACCUGGGAACGGCAUCCGGAACUGUCAAGCUAGAGUGCAGGAGAGGAAGGUAGAAGUCCCGGUGUAGCGGUGAAAUGCGUAGAGAUCGGGAGGAAUACCAGUGGCGAAGGCGGCCUUCUGGACUGACACUGACACUGAGGUGCGAAAGCGUGGGUAGCAAACAGGAUUAGAUACCCUAGUAGUC
rnacentral:rRNA from 1 species